GCCGGGCGCGGUGGCGCGUGCUUGUAACCCAAGUCCCCCGGAAGCUGAGGUUGGCGCUCUAUGUCGAACGGGUAUCCGCACUAAAUUCAGUGUCGAUUUAGUACUCAUGGGGUAGCCCGGGCCCACCAGAUCGUCUACGGUGGGCUGCACUGGCCCAGGUCGGAAAAGAAGCAGCUCAAAUCCCAGGCUCCGUCCAGUAGUGGGAUAGCGAAUGUGAGUAGACUCUGUAGUGCAUCCUU
rnacentral:SRP_RNA from 1 species